rnacentral:tRNA from 1 species
AACAUAUUGGCAGAAUAAUGCAUUAGAAUUAGAAUCUAAUUAACUAGAUAUAU